rnacentral:rRNA from 1 species
CUUCUCUGGAUGAGUUGCGAACGGGUGAGUAACGCGUAGGUAACCUGCCUGGUAGCGGGGGAUAACUAUUGGAAACGAUAGCUAAUACCGCAUAAGAGUAGAUGUUGCAUGACAUUUACUUAAAAGGUGCAAUUGCAUCACUACCAGAUGGACCUGCGUUGUAUUAGAUAGUUGGUGGGGUAACGGCUCACCAAGGCGACGAUACAUAGCCGACCUGAGAGGGUGAUCGGCCACACUGGGACUGAGACACGGCCCAGACUCCUACGGGAGGCAGCAGUAGGGAAUCUUCGGCAAUGGACGGAAGUCUGACCGAGCAACGCCGCGUGAGUGAAGAAGGUUUUCGGAUCGUAAAGCUCUGUUGUAAGAGAAGAACGAGUGUGAGAGUGGAAAGUUCACACUGUGACGGUAUCUUACCAGAAAGGGACGGCUAACUACGUGCCAGCAGCCGCGGUAAUACGUAAGUCCCGAGCGUUGUCCGGAUUUAUUGGGCGUAAAGCGAGCGCAGGCGGUUAGAUAAGUCUGAAGUUAAAGGCUGUGGCUUAACCAUAGUACGCUUUGGAAACUGUUUAACUUGAGUGCAAGAGGGGAGAGUGGAAUUCCAUGUGUAGCGGUGAAAUGCGUAGAUAUAUGGAGGAACACCGGUGGCGA